rnacentral:lncRNA from 1 species
UGAGGAAUUGAACAAUGAAGAGCAAAUAUCCACCUCAAACCCUGCUUUUACAAAAGCAGAAUAAAAUGAAAUGAAAAGAAAAUGA